rnacentral:rRNA from 1 species
UGGGGAAUAUUGCACAAUGGGCGAAAGCCUGAUGCAGCAACGCCGCGUGAGUGAUGAAGGUCUUCGGAUUGUAAAGCUCUGUCUUUUGGGACGAUAAUGACGGUACCAAAGGAGGAAGCCACGGCUAACUACGUGCCGGCAGCCGCGGUAAUACGUAGGUGGCGAGCGUUGUCCGGAUUUACUGGGCGUAAAGGGUGCGUAGGCGGAUGUUUAAGUGAGAUGUGAAAUACCCGGGCUUAACUUGGGUGCUGCAUUUCAAACUGGAUAUCUAGAGUGCAGGAGAGGAGAAUGGAAUUCCUAGUGUAGCGGUGAAAUGCGUAGAGAUUAGGAAGAACACCAGUGGCGAAGGCGAUUCUCUGGACUGUAACUGACGCUGAGGCACGAAAGCGUGGGUAGCAAACAGGAUUAGAUACCCUGGUAGUCCACGCCGUAAACGAUGAGUACUAGGUGUAGGAGGUAUCGACCCCUUCUGUGCCGCAGUAAACACAUUAAGUACUCCGCCUGGGAAGUACGAUCGCAAGAUU